rnacentral:rRNA from 1 species
AGUGAACGCUGGCGGUAGGCCUAACACAUGCAAGUCGAACGGCAGCACAGUAAGAGCUUGCUCUUACGGGUGGCGAGUGGCGGACGGGUGAGGAAUACAUCGGAAUCUACUUUUUCGUGGGGGAUAACGUAGGGAAACUUACGCUAAUACCGCAUACGACCUACGGGUGAAAGCAGGGGAUCUUCGGACCUUGCGCGAUUGAAUGAGCCGAUGUCGGAUUAGCUAGUUGGCGGGGUAAAGGCCCACCAAGGCGACGAUCCGUAGCUGGUCAGAGAGAAUGAUCAGCCACACUGGAACUGAGACACGGUCCAGACUCCUACGGGAGGCAGCAGUGGGGAAUAUUGGACAAUGGGCGCAAGCCUGAUCCAGCCAUACCGCGUGUGUGAAGAAGGCCUUCGGGUUGUAAAGCCCUUUUGUUGGGAAAGAAAAGCAGCAGGUUAAUACCCCGCUGUUCUGACGGUACCCAAAGAAUAAGCACCGGCUAACUUCGUG